UACGUAGGUGGCGAGCGUUGUCCGGAUUUAUUGGGCGUAAAGCGCGCGCAGGCGGUCCUUUAAGUCUGAUGUGAAAUCUCGGGGCUCAACCCCGAGCGGUCAUUGGAAACUGGGGGACUUGAGUGCAGAAGAGAAGAGCGGAAUUCCACGUGUAGCGGUGAAAUGCGUAGAGAUGUGGAGGAACACCAGUGGCGAAGGCGGCUCUUUGGUCUGUAACUGACGCUGAGGCGCGAAAGCGUGGGGAGCGAACAGG
rnacentral:rRNA from 1 species